rnacentral:rRNA from 1 species
GAUGAACGCUGGCGGCGUGCCUAAUACAUGCAAGUCGAGCGAACAGACGAGGAGCUUGCUCCUCUGACGUUAGCGGCGGGCGGGUGAGUAACACGUGGAUAACCUACCUAUAAGACUGGGAUAACUUCGGGAAACCGGAGCUAAUACCGGAUAAUAUAUUGAACCGCAUGGUUCAAUAGUGAAAGACGGUUUUGCUGUCACUUAUAGAUGGAUCCGCGCCGCAUUAGCUAGUUGGUAAGGUAACGGCUUACCAAGGCAACGAUGCGUAGCCGACCUGAGAGGGGGAUCGGCCACACUGGAACUGAGACACGGUCCAGACUCCUACGGGAGGCAGCAGUGGGGAAUCUUCCGCAAUGGGCGAAAGCUUGACGGAGCAACGCCGCGUGAGUGAUGAAGGUCUUCGGAUCGUAAAACUCUGUUAUUAGGGAAGAACAAAUGUGUAAGUAACUAUGCACGUCUUGACGGUACCUAAUCAGAAAGCCACGGCUAACUACGU